rnacentral:rRNA from 1 species
CCUACGGGAGGCAGCAGUGAGGAAUAUUGGUCAAUGGGCGCGAGCCUGAACCAGCCAAGUAGCGUGAAGGAUGACUGCCCUACGGGUUGUAAACUUCUUUUAUAAAGGAAUUAAUUGAGGCACAUGUGCCUUUUUGUAUGUACUUUAUGAAUAAGGAUCGGCUAACUCCGUGCCAGCAGCCGCGGUAAUACGGAGGAUCCGAUCGUUAUCCGGAUUUAUUGGGUUUAAAGGGUGCGUAGAUGGGUUGUUAAGUCAGUUGUGAAAGUUUGCGGCUCAACCGUAAAAUUGCAAGUGAUACUGGCAGUCUUGAGGACAGUUGAGGUAGGCGGAAUUCGUGGUGUAGCGGUGAAAUGCUUAGAUAUCACGAAGAACUCCGAUUGCGAAGGCAGCUUACUAAAAUGCCACUGACAUUGAUGCUCGAAAGUGUGGGUAGCAAACAGGAUUAGAUACCCCAGUAGUC